rnacentral:ribozyme from 1 species
UGCCCAGCAACUCCUAUCCCUACCUCCUUGUGGUACUGGCCUAGGGAAGAUCUGGUAACCAACCCCGGUGGGAAUUUUGGUCGUAUGCUGACAGGGAAGG